rnacentral:rRNA from 1 species
UAGGGAAUCUUCGGCAAGGGGGGAACCCUGACCGAGCAACGCCGCGUGAGUGAAGAAGGUUUUCGGAUCGUAAAGCUCUGUUGUUAAGGAAGAACGAGUGUGAGAAUGGAAAGUUCAUGCUGUGACGGUACUUAACCAGAAAGGGACGGCUAACUACGUGCCAGCAGCCGCGGUAAUACGUAGGUCCCGAGCGUUGUCCGGAUUUAUUGGGCGUAAAGCGAGCGCAGGCGGUUAGAAAAGUCUGAAGUGAAAGGCAGUGGCUCAACCAUUGUAGGCUUUGGAAACUGUUUAACUUGAGUGCAGAAGGGGGGAGUGGAAUUCCAUGUGUAGCGGUGAAAUGCGUAGAUAUAUGGAGGAACACCGGUGGCGAAAGCGGCUCUCUGGUCUGUAACUGACGCUGAGGCUCGAAAGCGUGGGGAGCGAACAGG